AUUAAAAAAUUAUUAUUUAGAUUGUUUAAAAUUUUUUAAAUUAAGUAUAAUAUAAUUUAUUAUAUAAAUAGAAAAAUUUAUUUUUUUUAUAGUUAAUUUGUAUUGUGAAAGAAUUUGUUUAAUUUUUAAAAAGAAAAAUUUAUUUUUUGUACCUUGUGUAUCAGGGUUUAUUUAUUAAUUAUUAAUAAUUUAGUUUUCUCGAAUUUAAAAGAGCUAGAAAUUUAUUAUUAUAAUUAUUGAAUAAAUUUAUUUAAUAAAUUUUUUGUAGUGAAAUGUUAUGCGAUUUUAAAUAUAUCUAGUUUUUUAAGAAAUAAAUUUAAUUUAUUUAUUAAGAAUAUAUUUUUAAAUUUUUAAUUUUAUAUUAUUGAUAGGUAAUAUUUUUAGGGAUGAGCUUAAAAAUAAAAAUUUAGUAAAAUUUUAUUUAUUAUAAAAAAUUUGGAAUUAAAAAUUUUUAAAAUUUAAAGUUUGUUAUUAUUUAUUUAUAUAUUAAAUUAUUUAAAAUUUUAUAAAUAAUUUAUUAAAAAUUAAAUAUUAAUUUAAAUUAUUUAGUUAUAAUGAUAAAAUUAGUAAAUUUGAAUUUGUAUUAAUAAUAAAGUGUAUUAGGUUAAAAAAAGGAAUUCGGCCAAAUAUUUUUCACCUGUUUAUUAAAAACAUGUCUUUUUGUAUUUCUUUAAAGUCUGGCCUGCCCACUGAUAUUUUGAAUGGCCGCGGUAAAUUGACCGUGCUAAGGUAGCAUAAUCAUUAGUUUUUUAAUUGAAAGCUGGAAUGAAGGGUUGGAUGAAAAAAUAACUGUCUCUAUUUAAAUUUUUUUGAAUUUUAUUUUUAAGUAAAAAAGCUUAAAUUUUUUUUAAAGACGAGAAGACCCUAUAGAGUUUUAUAUUUAUGGGAUUUUAUUUAUUUAGGAAUUUUAUUUAAAAAUCUAUUUUUAUUUAAUUGGGGUGAUUAAAAAAUUUAUUGAACUUUUUUUUAUAUUAAUAUUGAUUUAUAAGUGCUUGAUCUAAUAUUUUUGAUUAUAAGAUAAAAUUACCUUAGGGAUAACAGCGUAAUUUUAUUAGAGAGUUCUUAUCGAUAAUAAAGAUUGCGACCUCGAUGUUGGAUUAAAGUUUAUAAUUGGUGUAGAAGCUAUAUUAUUAAGUCUGUUCGACUUUUAAAAUUUUACAUGAUCUGAGUUUAAACCGGUGUAAGCCAGGUUGGUUUCUAUCUUAAAUUAGUUAAUAUAUUUUAGUACGAAAGGACCAAUUAUAUAAAUAAUAUUUUUUAAUUUGAUAAAUAUUAUU
rnacentral:rRNA from 1 species